rnacentral:rRNA from 1 species
AGUGAGCGCUGGCGGUAGGCCUAACACAUGCAAGUCGAACGACAGCACAGGAGAGCUUGCUCUCUGGGUGGCGAGUGGCGGACGGGUGAGGAAUACAUCGGAAUCUACUCUGUCGUGGGGGAUAACGUAGGGAAACUUACGCUAAUACCGCAUACGACCUACGGGUGAAAGCAGGGGACAUUCGGGCCUUGCGCGAUUGAAUGAGCCGAUGUCGGAUUAGCUAGUUGGCGGGGUAAAGGCCCACCAAGGCGACGAUCCGUAGCUGGUCUGAGAGGAUGAUCAGCCACACUGGAACUGAGACACGGUCCAGACUCCUACGGGAGGCAGCAGUGGGGAAUAUUGGACAAUGGGCGCAAGCCUGAUCCAGCCAUACCGCGUGGGUGAAGAAGGCCUUCGGGUUGUAAAGCCCUUUUGUUGGGAAAGAAAUCCAGCUGGCUAAUACCCGGUUGGGAUGACGGUACCCAAAGAAUAAGCACCGGCUAACUUCGUGCCAGCCGCCGCCGUAA